AUUGGGAGGCGCCGAAGGUGGAGAGGUCGGCUCGGAAGGAAAAGAUCACUCACUCUUGGGGGCAUCCAGCAGCCAUGUUGUGAGGACACUCAAGCAGCUGUGAAGAGGUGCACCUGGAGAGGAACUGAGGCCUCCCACCAAAACCAAGCACUGACAUGCCACUCAUGGAGCAACUUCCAGUCCUGCAAGCUCCAUUCAUGCAAUCACAGGAAUAUAUAAAACAUGAGCAGAAAGAGGCCUUUGGAGAAAUCUGGACCAGCAUUCUCAUUUUACGGAUGAGGGACCACGGCCCAUGGAGGUUUCCAUAGAUGAUUGGAAAAACCCAAGAGUUGGUCCUCUGUUCCAGACCCCACACAGACACAAACCUACAAGCCAAGGGAGCCAGUAUUUGGCCAUUCGUCCAUCCAUCUGCAUGUCCCAGGGAUGCACGAACAGGGAACACUUCAGCCUUUCGGCUGCCUUCAAAGAAGCAAUGAGAGAGAGAGAGAGGGUUACUUUGAUGAGUGAGCAGAUACCAGGUACUGUUUUGGGGAAACUGCUUUUCUCUGAGUCUAUAUUGGUCUGCACAAAUAAACUAAAAUGCUUUUUAAGUUGUUUUAUGAUCUAUAUAGAAGAGAUAUUGACAAACUUCUCCUGCUUAGAAAAUAAAAGGGACACUUGGAAUUAACAAAGGGGGUUGGUAGAUUUACCAUUGAGGUUGAUGAACUUAAUAUAUCAUCUGGUAAAACAAGCGUCAGGAAAUAUCCAUCAUUCAAAUGUUUUGGCUGACAGCAAAAUGCUCAAGGACUAAUCCCACAGCUGAAAUGUAGGGGAAAAUUUCCCCUACAUUUGGCUCCUUCUGGCUCCUACUUGGUCUACACUUUUGGAAGGACUGCUGAGAUUGUAUCCUUGGAGUCAGGGCGAGAGUGCCCCCUCCUUUUCCCCACUUGGAAACCAGAGUUUGUGGAAAGUGAAGAAGUGAUGUGCUGGAGCCAGA
rnacentral:lncRNA from 1 species